rnacentral:rRNA from 1 species
GUGGGGAAUCUUGCGCAAUGGGCGAAAGCCUGACGCAGUCAUGCCGCGUGAAUGAUGAAGGUCUUAGGAUUGUAAAAUUCUUUCACCGGGGACGAUAAUGACGGUACCCGGAGAAGAAGCCCCGGCUAACUUCGUGCCAGCAGCCGCGGUAAUACGAAGGGGGCUAGCGUUGCUCGGAAUUACUGGGCGUAAAGGGCGCGUAGGCGGAUCGUUAAGUCAGGGGUGAAAUCCCAGAGCUCAACUCUGGAACUGCCCUUGAUACUGGCGAUCUUGAGUGUGAGAGAGGUAUGUGGAACUCCGAGUGUAGAGGUGAAAUUCGUAGAUAUUCGGAAGAACACCAGUGGCGAAGGCGACAUACUGGCUCAUUACUGACGCUGAGGCGCGAAAGCGUGGGGAGCAAACAGGAUUAGAAACCCGUGUAGUCC